ensembl:lncRNA
AGUUAUCCUCGCACUUAAAUAAAGAGAGUAGAGGAAAUCACGAUGAGGGCAGACUGUGUGCACGGAGUCCUUUCCAUGGGUUGUCGAUGGUGAAAUACCUAUUUCGUUGGAGCGCAAAUAAAUAACAUUCUCGUAACAAUCAUUGUUCUACACAUUGGGGCAUUGUCAUGCUGAAACAGGAAAGGGCCUUCUACUGUUCUUCUUCUACAGGGUCACUGUCAGUCAGAGCACUUAAUGGUGAGGCCAUCAUAGACCUGCCAGAGAGAGGAGUUACAGUGUUGGGGUGCGUGCAUGCCUCUUCUGGCAGGUGAUUUUUCAACAAAGCGUGGAGGGAGACGGCCUUCUCAAAGUCACGGGCUGCUUCCUGAGGGAGAGGUACAUAACUUUUAAGCUACCCUUGGCAACACGAUGGGUCACAGCUUCAACCAGCAUCUAAGAUAUACAUUAAUUGUAAUUAUAAACUGGGUGGUUCGAGCCCUGAAUGCUGAUUGGCUGAAAGCCGUGGUGUAUCAGACUGUAUACCAUGGGUAUGACAAAGCAUGUAUUUUUUCAGCUCUAAUUACGUUGAUAACCAGUUUAUAAUAGCAAUAAGGGGUUUGUGAUAUAUUGCCAAUAUACCAUGGUUAAGGGCUGUGUCCUAC